CAGUAGCGUAUAUUAAAGUUGUUGCAGUUAAAAUGCUCGUAGUUGAAGUUCGGAUGCAGCAGAGCUUGGAAACGCUGUUAUGGUGCUUCCGUUGCUUUUGCUUGUCCACAGUGCGUUGCAAGUACGUAUGUGCUUUGUGCGUGCAUUUUACUUUGAGAAACAUAGGGUGUUCCACGCAUGUUACGGCAUGAAUAUUCCAGCAUGGGAUAAUCUGGUACGACUUCCAAUCUGCCAUUUUGGUUCGUAGGUUGGAAGUAAUGAUUAAUAGGGACUGUCGGGGGCAUUGGUAUUUGACUGUCAGAGGUGAAAUUCUUUGAUUCGUUGAGGACCAACCACUGCGAAAGCAUUUGUCAAGGAUGUCUCCAUUAA
rnacentral:rRNA from 1 species